GAAGCACCGGUUUUCGGAAUGAUCCCCAUUGAGCUACCGAAUUGGGAAAUAUUAAUCCGGCCAAUUAAAUUUUUGCCAUGUUUGUGCGCGGACUAUCGAAGCUUGUCCGAAUAAUGGUUACCGGAAUCCAUGUAAAAAUAUCGCAAUGAAAGGAUUCAAGCUCUUAUAAUGGAACGAACGGACAAGCGUGCGGACUCGAGUUCCACCAAGGGUACGGACCUGCUUCUGGCCAAGGUCGAUGGUAACAGCGGUUUGGCGGAUCGGUCUCGGAAGCCUUGAGUAAACUCAAACGGAGUAAACGGCAAUUUUAGGAAUUCUAAAGGGCAAGCGUUGGAUGGAUACGGGUAAAUGCUAAAAAAAAAUUGAAAACGUACAGCAAUUUACCUAAGCGGGAAUAGUAAAUCGGAUUCGGUAAUGGUAUAUACGGGAAAGCAAAUGCAGGAAAGUAACAAAAAGCUUACCUUGCAAUUAAACGGGGCAAUAAAAGUUACUGUGCUAGAAAAAGCAAUAUAGACACGGUACAGUAAUGAAAAAGCAACAAUUAAACGGUAUAAAUGCAAAAUAAAUAUACAGAAAGCUCAAAAUUGCGGCACUUAUGAAACGUAGCUUGCGAAAGUCAAACAGGCAGAAAAGAUCCUCCUUAAACAACUGAUUUGCCUUUUAUAAAAUUCGGAUAAAAUCAUCCAAAAAUUAUUCCUUUUUGUAAUGAAUUGUUCGGCCUCCUGACGUCCUAAAAGUCUGUAAUUGAUCUCAAAAUUUAAAGGAGAGUAAACCUGCAUGACUUUUUUGUUUUUGUGCUCGUUUUAAAUUAAGAUAGGAAACCAAAAUCAUAUAAAUAAUUACUUUAAGAAGCUGAAAUUCGCCGUCGUCUUCUAAGUGGCAAGAGCUUUCGGAUGCAACAAAGACGAUUGAAAUAUCUUGACGGGAACGGGUGCAAACGGCGGAUUAUAUACAGAUUUUGAUUCCUGUAGCGGAGGCUGUACCACAACUAUAGAAAUUAAAUCAAACACCUUUACCUUCUAUCUUCAAUGCCUAGUACCAACACAAAUUGAUCACCAUAACUGGUGACUUUCCGAAACAAGAGUAGAAUUUCGAGAAAUCCGACUCGAGCAUGACUUGUUAAAGGUGAUGAAGGGAACUCUAUCGACACAAGUACU